rnacentral:rRNA from 1 species
CUGGGCUCGAAAUGCAGAGGAAGAUGCCAGAAAUGGCUUCGUCCGAAAGGACUUCUGUAUAGGUGCUGCAUGGCUGUCGUCAGCUCGUGCCGUGAGGUGUUUGGUUAAGUCCAGCAACGAGCGCAACCCUUAUCAUUAGUUGCCAACACGUAAGGUGGGGACUCUAAUGAGACUGCCUAGGUUAACUAGGAGGAAGGCGAGGAUGACGUCAAGUCCGCAUGGCCUUUAUGUCCAGGGCUACACACGUGCUACAAUGGUCGGUACAGAGGGCAGCAAGACCGUAAGGUGGAGCAAAUCCCAGAAAGCCGAUCUCAGUUCAGAUUGUGGACUGCAACUCGUCCACAUGAAGUCGGAAUUGCUAGUAAUGGCGUGUCAGCAACAACGCCGUGAAUACGUUCCC